UUCUGCUUAGAAAACAGCCUUCUCCGGUGGGAAAGGUUAGACUAGUCUGCCAGAUCUAAGAGAAGGACUUGCUCCCGAAUUUGUUUUGGCCAGAAAUGGUGAGAAGAAAAAGCAUGAAGAAGCCGCGAAGUGUGGGGGAGAAAAAGGUGGAGGCGAAGAAACAGCUCCCGGAGCAAACUGAACAAAACCUCGCCAAGAGUGUCUGGAGGCAGGACCGUUAUUCCUGCCGAGCAGGGGAGAGAAGAGAGACCCUGAAACACGCGCCACCUAUCUUUGUGGGGAGGGAUAAUUGAAGCGCCCUGAGCGUGAGCAUCAUGUGAAAACGUGAUCGCCAAGUUUCUCUCUGGGAAAGGAUCUGGGAUAGAUUAUACCUUGAAGUCUCCGCAAACGCUUUAGUGGAAGAAAUGAAAUCCCCCCCCCCCCCCCCCCCCCCCCCCCCCCCCCCCCCCCCCCCCCCCCCCCCCCCCCCCCCGUCAAGCAAGCCUUUGGCAUCAUUAUCCUCAUCACUAAAUCCUGCAGAGUACUGGGCGGAAAACGGUGCACACCAUUCACAGAACUGGAGAACUCCAAGGGGCGAAAGUUAAAGGGAAAGCUCUCGGGUCUUCCAUGCAGAUCUCUUGUCUUAUACAGAUAUCUCUGGUGACUAGGUUUGAGGUGCACGUCAAGUUGUAUGGAUACCUCAAGCACCGUUUUUGGAACUAAAUUCUUGCCCUUUCUCUUAUUACAUUUUUUUUUUUAAAGAUGCCAGAACUAGGGGAGGGAAAUGCUACUUGUACACUGCAUCUUAGGAUCUCAGUGUGCAGUGUAUGUGUGUAUGUGUGUGUGUGUGGGGGGGAGAUUUUCUGGAUUGGAUCCCUAUAUUAAAAGUUUGGCAUUUUAAUAAAGGGUCUCUAGGUUAACAUAGAGCUGUACUAUGCUGGCCAAUCUCUGGACCCCUCUACACCUCAUGCAGACCACAUUACAAAGUGAGGGGACAGGGGCAGGAGGAAGAAGGAGAAAGGUCAGAGGAACUUAGGACGAAAGAAAGAAGAGGGUGACACUAAACUGUGUGGGGUCUAAGUUUUGAAGUGCAUAUUUUUGAUAUUGCAAUUAAACUAAAAUUAAAAAGAAAAGACUCCACCUUUGCUCUGAAGGGAUUGGUUAUGCAAAUAUGGAAGGGAUUUCCUGGAGAAUACAGCUUUCUACUGUAUGGUUAAUUAAAUAAUCACUCAAAAA
ensembl:antisense Zeb2os zinc finger E-box binding homeobox 2, opposite strand